UACGGGGGGGGCAAGCGUUGCUCGGAAUUACUGGGCGUAAAGCGCGUGUAGGCGGCCCUGCAAGUCGGAUGUGAAAUCCCACGGCUCAACCGUGGAAGUGCAUUCGAAACUGCAGGGCUAGAGUCCUGGAGAGGAAGGUGGAAUGCUUGGUGUAGAGGUGAAAUUCGUAGAUAUCAAGCGGAACACCGGUGGCGAAGGCGGCCUUCUGGACAGUGACUGACGCUGAGACGCGAAAGCGUGGGGGGCAAACAGG
rnacentral:rRNA from 1 species